rnacentral:rRNA from 1 species
AGCAGUAGGGAAUCUUCGGCAAUGGACGAAAGUCUGACCGAGCAACGCCGCGUGAGUGAAGAAGGUUUUCGGAUCGUAAAACUCUGUUGGUAGAGAAGAACGUUGGUGAGAGUGGAAAGCUCAUCAAGUGACGGUAACUACCCAGAAAGGGACGGCUAACUACGCGCCAG